rnacentral:rRNA from 2 species
GAAAAAUAACGAUACGGGACUCAUCCGAGGCCCCGUAAUCGGAAUGAGUACACUUUAAAUCCUUUAACGAGUAUCCAUUGGAGGGCAAGUCUGGUGCCAGCAGCCGCGGUAAUUCCAGCUCCAAUAGCGUAUAUUAAAGUUGUUGCGGUUAAAAAGCUCGUAGUUGGACUUGUGUCCCACGCUGUCGGUUCACCGCCCGUCGGUGUCUAACUGACAUGUAUCGUGGGACGUCCUGCCGGUGGUGGCGAGUCGAAAGAUCGCGCCCCCGUGGUUCUGCCAUGGGUAGGUUGCGGUUCGUAGACGGACCCCGAUGAAAUCCUACCGCGGUGCUCUUAAACGAGUGUCGAGGUGGGCCGGCACGUUUACUUUGAACAAAUUAGAGUGCUUAAAGCAGGCCUGAUGCGCCUGAAUACUGUGUGCAUGGAAUAAUGGAAUAGGACCUCGGUUCUAUUUUGUUGGUUUUCGGAACCCGAGGUAAUGAUUAAUAGGGACAGUCGGGGGCAUUCGUAUUGCGACGUUAGAGGUGAAAUUCUUGGAUCGUCGCAAGACGGACCGAAGCGAAAGCAUUUGCCAAGUAUGUUUUCAUUAAUCAAGAACGAAAGUUAGAGGUUCGAAGGCGAUCAGAUACCGCCCUAGUUCUAACCAUAAACGAUGCCAGCUAGCGAUCCGCCGAAGUUCCUCCGAUGACUCGGCGGGCAGCUCCCGGGAAACCAAAGCUUUUGGGUUCCGGGGGAAGUAUGGUUGCAAAGCUGAAACUUAAAGGAAUUGACGGAAGGGCACCACCAGGAGUGGAGCCUGCGGCUUAAUUUGACUCAACACGGGAAACCUCACCAGGCCCGGACACUGGAAGGAUUGACAGAUUGAGAGCUCUUUCUUGAUUCAGUGGGUGGUGGUGCAUGGCCGUUCUUAGUUGGUGGAGCGAUUUGUCUGGUUAAUUCCGAUAACGAACGAGACUCUAGCCUGCUAAAUAGUCGCAUCCGGUAU